ensembl:lncRNA
GCAGGUGGAUUCUUUACCACUAGCUCUUGUCUGGGACGGAGAAGGCAAUGGCACCCCACUCCAGUUCUCUUGCCUGGAAAAUCCCAUGGGCAGAGGAGCCUGAGCAUCUCAUCACCCACGGGUACUACUGCAGGAGUAGCUGUCGUGUUUCCGAUGCUUCUACCUUUAAAGUAAAAGUCGCUCAGUCGUGUCCGACUCUUUGCCGCCACGUGGACUGUAGCCUACCAGGCUCCUCCGUCCAAGGGAUUCUCCAGGCAAGGAUACUGGAGUGGGUUGCCAUUUCCUUCUCCAUUACCUUUAGGUCCCAGUAAUCUAAAAGCUUCUUUAUUUGGGCCCAAUCAUGUACAUGGAGCACCUAUUAUGUAACUAUAAUGUACUUAUAUCAUCUUUAUUUUACACUUCGGCAAGACAUUGAUUACAAACAUGAUGCGCGCGAGCGGGUGACAUUAUCCUUACUUUCUAGUCACAGACGAGCGGGUGGUUUACACUCCAGCCUUCCGUAGGGAAAGCGGCGCUUGGGUCCGG